rnacentral:rRNA from 1 species
UAGCUGAAUGUACCGAAGGAAUAAGGAUCGGCUAACUCCGUGCCAGCAGCCGCGGUAAUACGGAGGAUCCAAGCGUUAUCCGGAUUUAUUGGGUUUAAAGGGUGCGUAGGCGGCUUUUUAAGUCAGGGGUGAAAGACGGUGGCUCAACCAUCGCAGUGCCCUUGAUACUGAAGAGCUUGAAUGAACUAGAGGUAGGCGGAAUGUGACAAGUAGCGGUGAAAUGCAUAGAUAUGUCACAGAACACCGAUUGCGAAGGCAGCUUACUAUGGUUAAAUUGACGCUGAGGCACGAAAGCGUGGGGAUCAAACAGGAUUAGAUACCCUGGUAGUCCACGCCCUAAACGAUGAAUACUCGCUGUUAGCGAUACACAGUUAGCGGCUAAGCGAAAGCGUUAAGUAUUCCACCUGGGGAGUACGGUCGCAAGAUUGAAACUCAAAGGAAUUGACGGGGGCCCGCACAAGCGGAGGAGCAUGUGGUUUAAUUCGAUGAUACGCGAGGAACCUUACCCGGGCUUGAAAGUUAGUGAAUCAUUUAGAGAUAGAUGAGUCCGCAAGGACACGAAACUAGGUGCUGCAUGGCUGUCGUCAGCUCGUGCCGUGAGGUGUUGGGUUAAGUCCCGCAACGAGCGCAACCCCUAUGUUUAGUUGCCAGCACGUAAUGGUGGGGACUCUAAACAGACUGCCUGUGCAAACAGAGAGGAAGGAGGGGACGACGUCAAGUCAUCAUGGCCCUUACGUCCGGGGCUACACACGUGCUACAAUGGAUGGUACAGAGGGCAGCAAGCUGGUAACAGCAAGCAAAUCUCCAAAAGCCAUUCACAGUUCGGAUAGAGGUCUGCAACUCGACCUCUUGAAGUUGGAUUCGCUAGUAAUCGUAUAUCAGCAAUGAUACGGUGAAUACGUUCCCGGGCCUUGUACACACCGCCCGUCAAGCCAUGGAAGUUGGGGGUACCUAAAGUAUGUAACCGCAAGGAGCGUCCUAGGGUAAAACCGAUAACUGGGGCUAAGUCGUAACAAGGUAGCCGUACCGGAAGGUGCGGCUGGAAUACCUCCUUU